UACGGGGGAGCAAGCGUUAUCCGGAAUUAUUGGGCGUAAAGAGCUCGUAGGCGGUUUGUCGCGUCUGCUGUGAAAACCCGAGGCUCAACCUCGGGCCUGCAGUGGGUACGGGGCAGACUAGAGUGCGGUAGGGGAGAUUGGAAUUCCUGGUGUAGCGGUGGAAUGCGCAGAUAUCAGGAGGAACACCAAGUGGCGAAGGCAGAUCUCUGGGCCGUAACUGACGCUGGAGGAGCGAAAGCAUGGGGAGCGAACAGG
rnacentral:rRNA from 1 species